AUGGAUUUGACUAAAAUGGGUAUGAUCCAGCUCCAGAACCCCAAUCACCCCAAUGCCCUGCUGCACAAGGCUAAUCAGAUGCGCCUGGCCGGCACGCUGUGUGACGUGGUCAUCAUGGUGGACAGCCAGGAGUUCCACGCUCACCGGACCGUGCUGGCCUGCACCAGUAAGAUGUUUGAGAUCCUCUUUCACCGGAACAGCCAACAUUACACUCUCGACUUUCUCUCACCAAAGACCUUCCAGCAGAUUCUGGAGUAUGCCUACACUGCCAUGCUCCAAGCUAAAGUGGAGGAUCUGGAUGACCUGCUUUAUGCAGAGCAAUGCCUGAAGAUACUGGAGACCAUCCAGUCCUCGGAUGAAAAUGACACGGAGGUCAACAUGAACGACGGAGGCGCAGAAGACGAUGAGGAGCGCAAGGGACGGCAUGGCAGGAACCCGAAAAAGCAUUCCGUGGAGGAGGGCAGCUACAUGUCGGCUGCCCAGCAAGCACUGACGCUGCCAGGAAUGGUGGAUCAGAGUCCUUCUGUCUCCACCUCCUUCGGCCUCUCCACCAUGAGCCCAACGAAAGCAGCCGUGGACAGCCUGAUGAGCAUCGGCCAGUCCCUCCUGCAGAGAACCAUGCACCCCGGCGCGGGUGCCGAACAGCCCCUGCACGGCAACUCCCACCCCAUGAUGGGAGAGAUCAAGACGGAGAUGAUGCAAGUAGAUGAGAGCGGAGAACACGAGAACCCAAAAGCCAUGGAAUCCAGCGCCUCCAGCAACGGCGAGCGCAGCGGAGAACCUGACAAGAACCGCGAUGGGCCCGGCACCCCUACCAGGAGCAGCGUGAUCACUAGUGCCCGUGAACUGCACUACGUCAGGGAGGAAGGUGUGGGCGACCAGCAGGCGGAGGUCAACCAGAUGGGCCUGGAGGCCAUGGCAGGGAUGACCGAAAAGCACUUGGCGUCACUCUACGGCAUUCCUCCCAACCACAAGAACGAAGCAAUGCUCUCUAUGCCCGCUUCUAUGGCCUCAUCCUUGCACAUGUCCCCAGCAUUGAUGAUAGAUGCAGCAAUAUAUUUAGGAAAGCUCACAAGAUCCCUCCAAAAUCUAAUUUUGUCUGUCUUGUUGGAGAUGCAUCAUGGCAUACAUAUCCAGGGGAACCGCUUAUUUCAAGAUUUCGCCUCUGGGGAUCAAUUGAAAAUUUCAGAUGAUAUAGCCUGGUUUAGACUGCACAGCGGAAUGAAGACCUACGGAUGCGAGCUUUGUGGAAAACGCUUCCUAGACAGUCUGCGCCUAAGGAUGCACUUGCUGUCUCACUCAGCUGGUGAGAAAGCCAUCGUUUGUGACCAGUGUGGAGCUCAGUUUCAGAAGGAAGAUGCUCUUGAGGCCCACCGGCAGAUCCACACAGGAUCAGAUAUGGCCAUCUUCUGUUUGCUGUGCGGGAAGCGCUUCCAGACGCAGACAGCUCUGCAGCAGCACAUGGAGGUCCACGCAGGCGUGCGCAGCUACAUCUGCAGCGAGUGCAACCGCACAUUUCCCAGCCACACCGCACUCAAGCGCCAUCUCCGUUCGCAUACAGCAGGUGACCAUCCAUUUGAGUGCGAGUUCUGCGGCAGCUGCUUCCGAGACGAGAGCACACUGAAGGGACACAAACGCAUCCACACCGGAGAGAAACCCUAUGAAUGUAACGGCUGCGGCAAGAGGUUCAGCCUCAAACACCAGCUAGAGACCCACUACCGUGUCCAUACAGGUGAGAAGCCGUUUGAGUGCAAGCUCUGCCACCAGCGCUCCAGGGACUACUCGGCCAUGAUCAAACACCUGCGUACCCACAACGGAGCCUCACCGUACCAGUGCACCAUCUGCCUGGAAUACUGCCCCAGCCUCUCCUCCAUGCAGAAGCACAUGAAGGGCCACAAGCCCGAAGACAUCCCCCCGGACUGGAGGAUAGAGAAGACUUACCUCUACCUCUGCUACGUCUGAAGGAGGGAGACGACGGGGAGGGAAGGGAGCAGGAGGGCGAGGGGUUUGAAGCGCCUGGAAACACAGUCAGGAAAUGGAUGGAUUUGUUGGUGGUGCUGGGCAAGGCGGACAGAAAUCUUACCCCGUCAGUAUAGCAAAACAUUAAAAAAAAGCAUCAUGUUAUAGCCGUAUAUGGGAAGUCCACUCUCUACAUGUCAGCUUACGUCCCAAACGUUAAAUAUGUCUUAUCAGUCAAACGACACACACUUCAACAACGAUUCCUCCUCUUCAUAAGGAUGCCCUCUUCUGGUACAAAAACAGUAGUGUGAACCAGACACAGUGUUUAUCUCUCAGAGAUGUGCAGGAAGCACUUAGACCCUUCAGUGGUAACGUGCCAGUCAGGUACUCCACAGCAAAUAUGAACAGUCAUGUUCAUCAGGGUCAUUACUGCAAACUGGAACGUAAGCUUCCUGCAAAACAUGUUCACGAUGCCCGGCUGACAGUCAGCAUGUAGAUCCCUCCCAUAUGAUUCACAUUCAUUAAGGGCUUAUUGGUUUAACCAGCGUACAAAUCAGCUAAGCUCUCAGUACUCUGCUCAUCAAUGUCAUUUAACUUUUUUUUUUCUCUCGGCAUAGCGCGUAUUACAAGCUGACUUCACGACGACAGUUUUUGUUUGAUGUUGAUUUCUCAAGCGCAACAUUUCGAGUUUAUUUCAAGCAGAAUAACACGCACACACUGUACAUGUUCAUGUUAUCUCCUCCUUCGCUUAUCAAGUCUGAAAUCGCUUAACCGUUCGAAACGAGUAACUUGGCAAUACAUACAGAACAUCCAUUACACACUAGAAAUCUAAUCAACUGUUUAUGCUGUUGUUAUAGAGACCAAAAUGAUGACUGAAGCUGCUUUAGUCAGUGGCUUGCAGACUGAGCGGCACUGUGACGUACAGGGCUCGUCCGCACAUAUCCGUGUGUUCGUAGGUGGUCAUGAGGCUUGGCCUGUCCAGCCGGGAACGCUGGGAUGAAUGAACAGAGCAGAUCAACUCUUUUGGUUUGGUUCCUUUCGCUUUGUUUGUGUUUCCUAUUAUACCUUGAUUUACUUCAGCACAUCGUACUUGAAUUACCUCGUUUUUUUGUGACCUCAUGUGCUAGUGUUUUCAUUUUUCCUUUGUUUCUUUAUAUAUUUGACUGUUUGCUUUGCGAGCAGGAGCGGCGUGUGCUUUUAUGUACUUACGAAAUUAAGUGCCAUGGUGAAGAGAGAUUGUCUUUCGUUCGAAGUUUGUUUUUCUUUGCAUUAAUCUUACCAAACUUGGUAUUAUGUUUUUGUUUUGUUUGUUUGUUUUGUUUUACUAACCCUGCUUGUUGAAGAGCUUGUGGGUUUGGUCAUUUUUGUUGUAAGCUACCUCUAAGUUUUGUUUCUUUUUGUUGUUUCGUUUGCGAAAGCACAUUUGUUGUGUUUUGCGUUAUUUCAACUUCAUCUCACGCUUUCAAGUGUUGUACGUCGGAAGCGACGAAUAUGAAAGGGUAGGAUUUGCUUAUAGGAAAGGCGAAUUGAAAAAAAUAAUCAGAACUUUCCCUAUCAGUCCCCCCCACCCCUGUAAAUUGUUACCUUAAGAGCAGAAAAGAGAUUUCUGAAGCCUUAAGUUCGGGGUCGGAGUUGAUCUGGGAGGUGCGUAUGGAACAAGUGAAGUGUAGUACUUUAAAGUCUGGAAAAAAAAAAAACGUUAAACUUGAAAAUAUGUGAAUAGAAUUGUAGUUUUGUAAUGUGAAAAAAGAAGGUUCACAGAGCGUGAGCCGCCAAGAACAGGUCAUAUGCAGCAGUGCAUUGUGCGUUGGACAAUUGGGACUGCAAGUGGUAAUCAAAGACGAAAGGAAGAAGAAAAAAAAAAAACGAAAAAUCCUGUCAGUUGACAUGUUUCUUUGUAUGAGUGUAGUCCUGAGCAAGAGCCAACAGAGGCCAUUUGAUAUAUAAAAUUGUGAUAUUUUUGUAUUAAGUGUCAGUCCCUUUUUUCCAUUUGUUGAGGUUGCAGCGGGGCAAAACUUUGUAGUUCUUUUUUUAUAUCAUUAUUCUCUCGUUUGAAUCGUUUGCCUUGCUCCUCUUCGGUAAUGUUGGACAGUGCGUGAUCCUAUAGUGGUAAAUGUUGCUUUCUGGAUGUCAAUACAUUGCAGGUGAAGGACUAAAUCAGCCACAUUCUCCUUUGUGAAAAUAACAACAAACAAACAAAACUAAAAAAGAUGUGAUGCCAAUGAUCAAUUCCAUUGCACACGAUAUCUCAGACAAAACAAUCAAUGUUGCCAACGUUUUGUUUUUUACUUGAAGUGACUAAAAAAGAAGGGAUGGGAAGACGCGUCAAAGGAAACGUUAAUUGUCGUGUGUCUUGCCGUUGUUUUCUGGAAAACACUGUGAGUUUGGGCAUACUUGCCCCCUGUGAGAAUUUAAAAACUAGUAGCGCCAUGAAAAAAAAAAGGCAGAAAUAUAUAUUUUGUUCUGUAAAUGGAUAAUGUCGACUGAUGUUAAAUGGGUAAAACAGAGUUUUGCAAUAUGUGGCAACAAUACGAGAUAUUAAGUCACAUGUUAGUGUACCUUUUUGAUUUUGUACUUUGCUUUGAGUGUUUUCACUGUGUGUGUGUGUGUGUGUGUGUGUGUGUGUGUGUGUGUGUGUGUGAGCACGUUAGUGUCAAAUGCACUAAUCUGAAGUCAUAUUCUAUGCCACUUUUCUCUCACCGUGAUUAAAAAAUAUUGGCAUCGAUAUAGUUCUUCCCUCAAUGUUCUUCUGAUGUUUCUGUAAUAUCUUUGUGCCUAAAUGAAAUUGUUCAACAAAUUGUCCACAUAUAUCUGCUUAGUUUCUGUAUUUUCAAGAAAAUUAUUGGUGUCUUCAGGGCUCCAGGGGUGCCAUGAUGAUCUCGGAUGGAUUCACUUGAGACGAUUUUUGUUACGUGAUGAUCAUUUGGUCUAUUUUCAGUGGUUCCACUGGCGACCGAUCAGUAUUGUAGUGUUUUAUACACAGCUCGACAAAGACAAGCCAAACAUUCCUUGGAUCGGAAUAAGAGCGUUUUUCACAAUGAAUAUUCUGCUUUGAGGGGGAAAAAUUGAUGUUUGAGAAUCAAACUUACUUUCAUUUCCUCAUUCUUUUUUUGCCUCAGCAACAGGUUUGCUGAUUAAACUUUUCAACCAUGUCCCUUUAACAUUCGGCAUUUGUACUGCCCCUACUAGACAUUUUUAUUUGUUGUUUAAAGUACUUAUGUUAUCAUUGCAUCCCUGGAGUUGGCUCACUGUGUUCCAGUGUGGUGUUCUAGAAAGAGUAGCCAUUUCAUGCUGUGUUGCCAUGCAUGUGCCAUUGAGGUCAAAACUAAACUGUUUGAGUAACAAAGCACCAAGACGUUGUCUUUUUUUUAUAUUAGCACUGAGGACCAAUUGCCCUGUCGGACCAAGCAUAACAAAGCUUUUUAUGUAACAAAGCAGUUUCUCUCUUCCCCCUCUCCUUCUCUGGCUUGUCUGUAUUUUUUUCCUCCCUUGUGACAGCACAAGUGCCAGUCCUGUUGCUCUUUAAGAAUAUAGUGUUUUGUUUCUGGGGAUUUUAUUUUUGUUUGUUCUAUUAUUAUUAUUUGAAUUGUUAUAGUUACGUCUACCUCAGCACCUAAUCUUAGCCUAAUCUUAGAAGGUGCCCAAUUAUUAUUAUUAUUUUUUUCAGUUUGUUGUCAAUUGUACAAAUUUUUAUUUGCAUUAGAGCUUUGCAACGGUCCUCUGUCUUUUCCAGCAACAUGCUAUUUUUUGUGGCACUACUUUCUGAAUGUUGUGCUACAGAUAUUGGCAUCAGUUUCCUGAUGUAGUCUUUCUUUCGGUGUAGGAUCAGACACAUCUCUUUGUAACAUUUCAGUGUUCUCUGAUGGAGUGUGAAAAAAAUAAAGAAUUUAAAGAGAUCGAACGCUGCA
rnacentral:lncRNA from 1 species